rnacentral:rRNA from 1 species
CCCUUAGAUGUUCUGGGCCGCACGCGUGCUACACUGAUGCAUUCAACGAGUCUAAAACCUGGUCUGAUAGGGCUGGGUAAUCUUUUGAAAGUGCAUCGUGAUUGGGAUAGAUGAUUGCAAUUCUUCAUCUUCAACGAGGAAUGCCUAGUAAACGCAAGUCAUCAGCUUGCAUUGAUUACGUCCCUGCCCUUUGUACACACCGCCCGUCGCUCCUACCGAUUGAAUGAUCCGAUGAAUACCAUUGAUUGAGAGUACGAAUAGGUUCGCUUAUUUCUGCUGCUCGAGAAGUGGAGUAAAUCUUAUCAUUUAGAGGAAGGAGAAGUCGUAACA